GGUAGGGUCAUAUCACCGACUAUUCUUCUUGCGAUACCAAUGUAUUAGCCCCCAUUGGCAGGGUCCUCAACAUAGCCCGACUGCAAGCCUGAAUCUAUUUCAAGUCAUAAUCUUUUCUUACAUUAUAUUUAAUGUUCCAAACCAAAGGGUACAAUGUUAGAGUAAUUAAACACAAUUUGAACCAGAAGCAAAUACGUCCAAUCAGAAUCAUACAAUAUUCUAAAAUACACAUAUAAUCCAUGCAUUAAAUUCGAAAUCACGAACAAUUCAAUUCGUAAAACAUAUACAUAGUUUGCCGAUAAAUCUAGUAAAGAGGUUACAUCACUUACCUUGCGAACGCGAUCCACGACAAAUCCAAUUAAUUCC
rnacentral:lncRNA from 1 species